GGUUGCGAUCAUACCAGCACUAAUGCACCGGAUCCCAUCAGAACUCCGCAGUUAAGCGUGCGUGGGCGAGAGUAGUACUAGGAUGGGUGACCCCCUGGGAAGUCCUCGUGUUGCAACCC
rnacentral:rRNA from 1 species